ensembl:snoRNA
UAAAGACCUUUCUCUGGAAUCGCUGUACUUACUGUCUUGAUGAAAGUACCUUUGAAACCUUUUCCAUCUGACACCACUAAGCUUCCUCAUC